rnacentral:rRNA from 1 species
UGGGGAAUUUUGCACAAUGGGGGAAACCCUGAUGCAGCGACGCCGCGUGAUUUAGAAGGCCUUCGGGUUGUAAAAAUCUUUUCUAUGGGAAGAAAAUGACAGUACCAUAGGAAUAAGGACCGGCUAAUUACGUGCCAGCAGCCGCGGUAAUACGUAAGGUCCGAGCGUUGUCCGGAAUCAUUGGGCGUAAAGGGUACGUAGGCGGGUAAGCAAGUUAGAAGUGAAAUCCUAUAGCUCAACUAUAGUAAGCUUUUAAAACUGCUCAUCUUGAGGUAUGGAAGGGAAAGUGGAAUUCCUAGUGUAGCGGUGAAAUGCGCAGAUAUUAGGAGGAUUACCGGUGGCGAAGGCGACUUUCUGGCCAUAACCUGACGCUGAGGUACGAAAGCGUGGGUAGCAAACAGG